AUUGCCCUAGUAACGGCGAGUGAAGCGGCAACAGCUCAAAUUUGAAAUCUGGCCCUCGGGUCCGAGUUGUAAUUUGUAGAGGAUGCUUUUGGUGAGGUGCCUUCCGAGUUCCCUGGAACGGGACGCCAUAGAGGGUGAGAGCCCCGUCUGGUUGGACACCGAGCCUCUGUAAAGCUCCUUCGACGAGUCGAGUAGUUUGGGAAUGCUGCUCUAAAUGGGAGGUAUAUGUCUUCUAAAGCUAAAUACCGGCCAGAGACCGAUAGCGCACAAGUAGAGUGAUCGAAAGAUGAAAAGCACUUUGAAAAGAGAGUUAAAAAGUACGUGAAAUUGUUGAAAGGGAAGCGCUUAUGACCAGACUUGGGCUUGGUUGAUCAUCCUGGGUUCUCCCUGGUGCACUCUUCCAGUUCAGGCCAGCAUCAGUUCGCUGCGGGGGAUAAAAGUUUUGGGAAUGUGGCUCCUUCGGGAGUGUUAUAGCCCAUUUCAUAAUACCCUGCUCCGGACUGAGGUUCGCGCAUCUGCAAGGAUGCUGGCGUAAUGGUCAUCAGCGACCCGUCUUGAAACACGGACCAAGGAGUCGUCUUCGUAUGCGAGUGUUCGGGUGUUAAACCCCUACGCGUAAUGAAAGUGAACGCAGGUGAGAGCUUCGGCGCAUCAUCGACCGAUCCUGAUGUUCUCGGAUGGAUUUGAGUAAGAGCAUACGGGGCCGGACCCGAAAGAAGGUGAACUAUGCCUGUAUAGGGUGAAGCCAGAGGAAACUCUGGUGGAGGCUCGCAGCGGUUCUGACGUGCAAAUCGAUCGUCAAAUAUGGGCAUGGGGCGAAAGACUAAUCGAACCUUCUAGUAGCUGGUUUCCGCCGAAGUUUCCCUCAGGA
rnacentral:rRNA from 1 species